GACAGCCAUAACACAUGCAAGUCUAACGGUAACAGGAAGCAGCUUGCUGCUUCGCUGACGAGUGGCGGACGGGUGAGUAAUGUCUGGAAAACUGCCUGAUGGAGGGGGAUAACUACUGGAAACGGUGGCUAAUACCGCAUAACGUCGCAAGACCAAAGAGGGGGACCUUCGGGCCUCUUGCCAUCAGAUGUGCCCAGAUGGGAUUAGCUUGUUGGUGAGGUAACGGCUCACCAAGGCGACGAUCCCUAGCUGGUCUGAGAGGAUGACCAGCCACACUGGAACUGAGACACGGUCCAGACUCCUACGGGAGGCAGCAGUGGGGAAUAUUGCACAAUGGGCGCAAGCCUGAUGCAGCCAUGCCGCGUGUAUGAAGAAGGCCUUCGGGUUGUAAAGUACUUUCAGCGGGGAGGAAGGUGUUGUGGUUAAUAACCGCAGCAAUUGACGUUACCCGCAGAAGAAGCACCGGCUAACUCCGUGCCAGCAGCCGCGGUAAUACGGAGGGUGCAAGCGUUAAUCGGAAUUACUGGGCGUAAAGCGCACGCAGGCGGUCUGUCAAGUCGGAUGUGAAAUCCCCGGGCUCAACCUGGGAACUGCAUUCGAAACUGGCAGGCUUGAGUCUUGUAGAGGGGGGUAGAAUUCCAGGUGUAGCGGUGAAAUGCGUAGAGAUCUGGAGGAAUACCGGUGGCGAAGGCGGCCCCCUGGACAAAGACUGACGCUCAGGUGCGAAAGCGUGGGGAGCAAACAGGAUUAGAUACGCUGGUAGUCCACGCCGUAAACGAUGUCUACUUGGAGGUUGUGCCCUUGAGCGUGCUUCGGAGCUAACGCGUAAAGACACGCCUGGGAGUACGGCGCAAGUUAAAACUCAAAUGAAUUGACGGGGGCGCACAAGCGGUGAGCUGUGGUUAUUUC
rnacentral:rRNA from 1 species